GGGAAACUGCCUGAUGGAGGGGGAUAACUACUGGAAACGGUAGCUAAUACCGCAUAACGUCGCAAGACCAAAGAGGGGGACCUUCGGGCCUCUUGCCAUCGGAUGUGCCCAGAUGGGAUUAGCUAGUUGGUGGGGUAACGGCUCACCAAGGCGACGAUCCCUAGCUGGUCUGAGAGGAUGACCAGCCACACUGGAACUGAGACACGGUCCAGACUCCUACGGGAGGCAGCAGUGGGGAAUAUUGCACAAUGGGCGCAAGCCUGAUGCAGCCAUGCCGCGUGUAUGAAGAAGGCCUUCGGGUUGUAAAGUACUUUCAGCGGGGAGGAAGGGAGUAAAGUUAAUACCUUUGCUC
rnacentral:rRNA from 1 species